rnacentral:snRNA from 1 species
GUCUCUUCGGAGACCCGAUAAAAUUGGAACGGCACACAUGGCUCCUGCGCAAGGAUGACACGCACAAAUCGAUAAAUGGUGGUCCACAUUUUU